rnacentral:rRNA from 1 species
AUAUUAAAGUUGUUGCAGUUAAAAAGCUCGUAGUUGAACCUUNGGNCUGGCUGGCGGUNCGCCUCACNGCGUGUACUGGUCCGGCCGGGCCUUUCCUCCUGGAGAGCCACAUGCCCUUCACUGGGUGUGCUGGGGAACCAGGACUUUUACUUUGAAAAAAUUAGAGUGUUCAAAGCAGGCCUUUGCUCGGAUACGUUAGCAUGGAAUAAUGGAAUAGGACGUGCGGUCCUAUUUUGUUGGUUUCUAGGACCGCCGUAAUGAUUAAUAGGGAUAGUCGGGGGCAUCAGUAUUCAAUUGUCAGAGGUGAAAUUCUUGGAUUUAUUGAAGACUAACUACUGCGAAACGAUUUGCCAAGGAUGUUUUCAUUAAUCAGUGAACGAAAGUUAGGGGAUCGAAGACGAUCAGAUACCGUCGUAGUCUUAACCG